AUUGAACGCUGGCGGCAGGCUUAACACAUGCAAGUCGAACGAGUGGCGGACGGGUGAGUAAUGCUUGGGAAUCUCGCUUAUGGAGGGGGAUAACUACGGGAAACUGUAGCUAAUACCGCUUACCAUAGGAUGAGCCCAAGUGGGAUUAGGUAGUUGGUGAGGUAAAGGCUCACCAAGCCGACGAUCUCUAGCUGGUCUGAGAGGAUGACCAGCCACACUGGAACUGAGACACGGUCCAGACUCCUACGGGAGGCAGCAGUGGGGAAUAUUGCACAAUGGGCGCAAGCCUGAUGCAGCCAUGCCGCGUGUGUGAAGAAGGCCUUCGGGUUGUAAAGCACUUUCAGCGGGGAGGCGUUACCCGCAGAAGAAGCACCGGCUAACUCCGUGCCAGCAGCCGCGGUAAUUC
rnacentral:rRNA from 1 species